UACAGAGGGUGCUAGCGUUGUUCGGAAUUAUUGGGCGUAAAGGGCGCGUAGGCGGCCAGCACAAGUCAGUUGUGAAAUCUCCGAGCUUAACUCGGAAAGGUCAGCUGAUACUGUGCGGCUAGAGUGCGGAAGGGGCAACUGGAAUUCUUGGUGUAGCGGUGAAAUGCGUAGAUAUCAAGAGGAACACCUGCGGCGAAGGCGGGUUGCUGGGCCGACACUGACGCUGAGGCGCGAAAGCUAGGGGAGCGAACAGG
rnacentral:rRNA from 1 species